rnacentral:rRNA from 2 species
UAAGCCAUGCGNCCCAUUGUAGCAAUACAAGGCAGACGGCUCAGUAACGCGUAGUAACCUACCCUAUGGACGGGAAUAACCUCGGGAAACUGAGUAUAAUGCCCGAUAGGACACUAUGCCUGGAAUGGUUUGUGUUCCAAAUGAUUUAUCGCCAUAGGAUGGGACUGCGGCCUAUCAGUUUGUUGGUGAGGUAAUGGCCCACCAAGACUAUUACAGGUACGGGCUCUGAGAGGAGUGGCCCGGAGAUGGGUACUGAGACACGGACCCAGGCCCUAUGGGGCGCAGCAGGCGAGAAAACUUUGCAAUGUGCGAAAGCACGACAAGGUUAAUCCGAGUGGUUUCUACUAAAGGAACCUUUUGUUAGUCCUAGAAACACUGAUGAAUAAGGGGUGGGCAAGUUCUGGUGUCAGCCGCCGCGGUAAAACCAGCACCUCAAGUGGUCAGGAUGAUUAUUGGGCCUAAAGCAUCCGUAGCCGGCUCUGUUAGUUUUCGGUUAAUCUGUACGCUUANCGUACAGGCUGCCGGGAAUACUGCAAANCUAGGGAGUGGGAAAGUANACGGUACUCGGU